GAUGAACGCUGGCGGCGUGCCUAAUACAUGCAAGUCGAGCGAACGGACGAGAAGCUUGCUUCUCUGAUGUUAGCGGCGGACGGGUGAGUAACACGUGGAUAACCUACCUAUAAGACUGGGAUAACUUCGGGAAACCGGAGCUAAUACCGGAUAAUAUUUUGAACCGCAUGGUUCAAAAGUGAAAGACGGUCUUGCUGUCACUUAUAGAUGGAUCCGCGCUGCAUUAGCUAGUUGGUAAGGUAACGGCUUACCAAGGCAACGAUGCAUAGCCGACCUGAGAGGGUGAUCGGCCACACUGGAACUGAGACACGGUCCAGACUCCUACGAGAGGCAGCAGUAGGGAAUCUUCCGCAAUGGGCGAAAGUCUGACGGAGCAACGCCGCGUGAGUGAUGAAGGUCUUCGGAUCGUAAAACUCUGUUAUUAGGGAAGAACAUAUGUGUAAGUAACUGUGCACAUCUUGACGGUACCUAAUCAGAAAGCCACGGCUAACUACGUG
rnacentral:rRNA from 1 species